UACGUAGGGUGCAAGCGUUGUCCGGAAUUAUUGGGCGUAAAGAGCUCGUAGGCGGUCUGUUGCGUCGGCUGUGAAAACCCGGGGCUCAACUCCGGGCCUGCAGCCGAUACGGGCAGACUAGAGUUCGGCAGGGGAGACUGGAAUUCCUGGUGUAGCGGUGAAAUGCGCAGAUAUCAGGAGGAACACCGAUGGCGAAGGCAGGUCUCUGGGCCACUACUGACGCUGAGAAGCGAAAGCAUGGGGAGCGAACAGG
rnacentral:rRNA from 1 species